GUAGUUGUAGCUCAGUGGUAGAGUGCUUGCCUGGCAUGUGUGAGGCCCUGGGUUCAAUCCCCAGCACCACA
rnacentral:tRNA from 1 species